AUAGGUGUUAGAUUACUAAGUUUUGUCUUUGAAUUUUUGAUUAAUUUGAGUAAUUUGGACUAAAUUGUAAAAAUAAGAUUUUGAGGGACUAAAUGUGAAAUAAAUGAUAAAUAUGGGCUGAUAGGGACCAUAGGAAAAUUCGAAUAAGGCAUGGUUUUGAUGAAUUUUGUAUAUUUGGUGUUUUGUGUAAUAAGGACUAAAAUGUCAAAAUGUGUAAUUUUAUGGGCUAAAGUGUAAAAAUGCCCAAAGAUGUGUUUGUGUAUUAAAUUAAAUGUGUUGGUGAUUAAAUGCAUUAAUUUUGAAUAUAUAUAGAUCAAUAAAGGAGAAAUUUGGACCUAGAUCGAGGCAAAAACAAAGUGCUCGAUUGAUCGACUAAUAUCGUCAUUUUUACGUUCGAGUGUUAUAAAGCUAGCUCAGAUUCAGGGAUCGUCAGCAACUCACUCACACUAUCGAACAUCUAUUUUGGUACCAUUUUGAGAGUUGUAUAUUUGGUAUAUGGCAUGUAUAAGCUAAAGGUAUUUUGGUAUAUUUUGUGAUGUGAAUAUCUAGCCAUGAGAUUUGGCUUAUAAAUAUUGGUAUGUAUGACCUUUUAAAUUGGCCGAAAUGAUGUGUUUGAUAGGUAA